rnacentral:rRNA from 1 species
CUAACACAUGCAGUCGGGCGGUACAGGGAAGCUUGCUAUCUGCUGACGAGCGGCGGACGGGUGAGUAAUGCAUAGGAAUCUGCCUGGUAGUGGGGGAUAGCCCAGAGAAAUUUGGAUUAAUACCGCAUACGCCCUACGGGGGAAAGCUGGGGACCUUCGGGCCUAGCGCUAUCAGAUGAGCCUAUGUCGGAUUAGCUUGUUGGUGAGGUAACGGCUCACCAAGGCGACGAUCCGUAGCUGGUCUGAGAGGAUGAUCAGCCACACUGGGACUGAGACACGGCCCAGACUCCUACGGGAGGCAGCAGUGGGGAAUAUUGGACAAUGGGCGCAAGCCUGAUCCAGCCAUGCCGCGUGUGUGAAGAAGGCCUUCGGGUUGUAAAGCACUUUCAGCGAGGAGGAAAGGGGUGUUGCUAAUAUCAACGCCCUGUGACGUUACUCGCAGAAGAAGCACCGGCUAACUCCGUGCGAGCACGCGGGGGAAAUAUAAA